AGCGAACGUUAGCGGCGGGCCUAACACAUGCAAGUCGAACGAGAAUGUAGGCUUCGGUCUACUAGUAAAGUGGCGGACGGGUGCGUAACACGUGGGUAAUCUACCUUCCGGCGGGGGACAACAGUCCGAAAGGAUUGCUAAUACCGCGUACGUCAGCGGCGCCUACGGGCGCUGUUGGGAAAGAUGGCCUCUCCUUGGAAGCUAUCACCGGAAGAUGAGCCCGCGUCCCAUCAGCUAGCUGGUGAGGUAAUGGCUCACUAAGGCUAAGACGGGUAGCUGGUCUGAGAGGAUGAUCAGCCACACUGGGACGGCGACACGGCCCAGAAUCCUACGGGAGGCAGCAGUGGGGAAUAUUGGGCAAUGGGCGAAAGCCUGACCCAGCCACGCCGCGUGAGUGAUGAAGGCCUUCGGGUCGUAAAGCUCUGUGGGGAGGGACGAACAAAUCUGGGGCUAAUCACCCGGGUCCUGACGGUACCUCCUUAGCAAGCACCGGCUAACCCUGUGCCAGCCGCCGCAGUAAAAC
rnacentral:rRNA from 1 species